GCUCCGGACGUUGCUUGGAUUGGAACAGGGUCAACAGCCGGAGCUCAGCUGCUGACAAAAGCCAAGCCCUCUUUCAGGUCAGUUAUCAUGUACAGUGUCCCUCAGUUGGAAUUUGUCUGAUGUUUCCUCGUGAUUAUAUUCAGGUUUGAAACCUGAGGUUCAGUGAGCCCUCGAGAGCUGGGCCUUGAACACAGCCCCUCUCCCACACAACAGAGGUAAGGGCACGAUAUACUUCUCUUUCUGCCAAGUGUGUUAAGGGGGCCUGCCCGCUAGCAUCAUAGCUGACCUGGUAGUUUGCUGGUGUUUUUAGAUGUGAGAGGCCCAAGGGCUGCAGAGAAGAGCCUUGGACCCUGAACCUAGUGAGAAUGUGGCCCAGGAUCUCAGGAAGGUCGUCUCUCAACCUUCUUAUUUGUAAAAAUAGUAGGAAAUCAUCCAUCCUGUGGUUAUGUAAAAGAAUAUCUUUAUUCUUAAGAAGCUUAUAUAUAUAUGCCUCACCUCUGCAAAUUCUGAAUUAUUUUUACAAGGACAAUUUUAUAGUCUUUUUUAACUGAACAUCCGUUUUAUACCCUGUUGUACAUCUGGUACACAUUCCUUGUAAGUGUAAUUUUAAUGACUUCCAGCAUUCCACUUUGUGUCAUAAUUUCUAUUCUCCUGUUGAUGGACACUCAAAAGGAAGAAGGGGAUUGAUAUUAACUCAGCAUGAACUUGGUACCAGGUGCUAUCCACCACAGGCUUAGCAUUAUCUUAUUUAACCCUCACGAUCCUACUAAGAUAAAUAUUUUUACCCAUGAUGUGUGGAUGAGGAGCUUAUACUAAGCCAACCUCAUUCAACUAGGGAAGAUCCAGGAUACAAUUCCAGGCUCUGACUCCUCAGCCCACGCUGUGUCUCUGCUCGUGCUGUCCCUCAGUUUUCUUCAUACCUAAAAGCUUUCUUUUUAUCCUCCUCUAACUUCGCAGCUUUUUUUUUUUUUUCACAGCUCUUUUUCUGUACUGCAGUUUCUGUUAUAUUGUUAUUAAUUCCAUGUCUCAACUCUGAGGUUGGACUAUGGACUCUUUAAGGAUAGGUUAACAGCAUGUUCAUCUCUGGAAGAGACUCACCUCAACAAGCUUAGCCCAGUGCCUUGCAUAUAGCAGAAGCUCCCAUCACUUAUUCUUUCAACAAAUCCUGUAUCUAUGGAGGGCCUAGUAUGCCCCAGGCAGUGUUCUAGAUUCUUGGGACAUGUCAGCAAUUCAGUAUACAGCGAAGCUUACAUUCUGGGGGAGGGCGAUGUAUGAUAAAGAAUGUAAGGGAGUUCCCGUUGUGGCGCAGUGGUUAACGAAUCCGACUAGGAACCAUGAGGUUGCGGGUUCG
rnacentral:lncRNA from 1 species